AUGGAAAUUAUAUUAGAACUUCAGCAAAGUGCACAGCUGCAUAAUAGAGAAGCCGGCACUCAGAUUGACAGGCAAAUAAGCCAGCUUGUGGAAGGGGCCUCUGGGUGGCAGCUCUGGGCUUUUGGGUGUUGGACAACCAUAGGCAAAACUGAAAUGGAACAGGGGCAGAAAAUAGCACACUUUUACUCUACGCAACUGUUGCUUUUUCAUGAUCUUCCUGAGUUUUACUCGGAUAAUUUUCCAAAUAGAAUUCCAAGCAUUCUAUUCAAAUGCGAGCCUUUUCAUCUGCACAGAGGGAGAUACAAAAUCGGAAAUUAUCUUAAUUAA
ensembl:lncRNA